rnacentral:rRNA from 1 species
GACGAACGCUGGCGGCGUGCUUAACACAUGCAAGUCGAACGGAAAGGCCUCGUUCGGGGGGUACUCGAGUGGCGAACGGGUGAGUAACACGUGAGUAACCUGCCCUUGACUUUGGGAUAACUUCAGUAAACUGGGGCGAAUACCUGAUAGGAGCUCCUUCUGCAUGGUGGGGGCUGGAAAGUUUCGGCGGUUGGGGAUGGACUCGCGGCGUAUCAGCUUGUUGGUGGGGUAGUGGCUUACCAAGGCUUUGACGGGUAGGCGCCCUGUGAGGGUGACCGGCCACCCUGGGUCUGAGGUACGGCACAGGUUGCUACGGGUGCGCGCAGUGGGGAAUCUUGCCGGAUGGGUGGCGGGCUGGUGCUGAAGCGCUGUGUGUGGGAUGACGGUCUUCGGGUUGUAAAACGAUUGCGCUCAUGACGAAGCUUUGCGUGACGGUAGUGGGUCAGAAAGCACCGGCUAACUACGUG